UGAGCAGACUGAAACUAGCUGCUAUCUAGGUAGCAGUUGUUCUCUUGUUAAUUUAGCUAGAUCAUGCAGAUGCAUCAGUUUAUUUUAGACAAUCCACCUUGGACACUCCAACUAUAAUGUGAUCUAUCAUUUAUUUUUCUGUGGCAAACUGGGUAACUCUGUGAAAUUGAAUUUACUCUACCACUCCUCUUAGUGCAGCCGCCCAUUAUCAAAAAAGAAAACUUAUUUUCAGUUUCUUCUGUUGGUAUAUACUAGUAGUUGCUUGCGAUAUUCUUCAUCUUGCUUGUUCUCCCUGAUUUACUUGUAUUUCCUUAUUGUAGUCUUGAUCAUUAUUCGUGAUCUCUAUAGCUUUAUUUCCAACUGUGAUUCUACAUUUCCUUAUGCAACCCAUUCUUAAGAAAGAAUUCAUGACUUCAGCUGCCUUAUUCUACUUCCAUCUUAUAUCUUAGGUGGAUUGAAUAACAAUGACCUUUUGUUGUUUGUGGGUGUGUGAGG
rnacentral:lncRNA from 1 species